rnacentral:lncRNA from 1 species
CAUGCUCAAAAUGAUUAAGACUCUAUACAUGCCAUAGUUUAAACAUUUUGAAAAGCACAUAAUACCGAGAUGGUUAUGAUAGUGUGAUACGAGCUCCGACGGUCCACUAUUCGAUCAAGUUCAAAUCACUAUAAAACAAAGGAAAGAAAGAGAUGUGUAAGCUAUAAAUAGCUUAGAAAGUUACAUGUAAACAAUAAUUACUCAAUUAAUAAUUAACACUUUUAACAUAUAACUAAUCAAAACAUUUCUUAGCAAUUUCAAUCACUUACACAUACACAAUCUUACCAAUUCACUUUCAUAUACAUUUUCACACUUAACAUUUCAUAUUCACUUUAAUUCAUUAUUAAUCCCGUUGAACACUUGGAAUAUACACGGAUACGUAGAGAUUUAGCACAUAAGUGCCACACUGAUAUGUAGCCGAAGCUACCACUGAUAUGUAGCCGAAGCUACCACUGGAUGUAGCCAAAGCUACCACUGAAAUGUAGCCGAAGCUACCACUGAUCAAUAACACUGGAAAUGUCCACGGGCCUGCUCACACAAGCUGUCAGGUGUCUGCAACACAUGCUAGAUCACCCAGCACCCGGGACUCACUGUAACACUGUAACACUGGUCUCUAGUGACAUGUCACUUGUAUCCAAUUCUAUUCCUAAGUUCAACCGGGAAUUUAUACUUAACACUUUAUUUUCAACACUUUAUCACUUGAAUAAUUCAUGAACAACUUUCCUUCCACAUUCAAUAUUAAUUCACAUAUCAAAUAUAAUUCACAAUUUAUACAAAUAUAACUAUUAUUUACAUAUAACUUACCUCGGAUGCAAAACAACUAUUUUUGUAAUUUAGUCGAUAACUUUCUCUUUUCCCCGAUCACUUGCACUAUUUCUUCU